rnacentral:rRNA from 1 species
CGAAUGCUGACAUAAGUAACGAUAAAGCGGGUGAAAAGCCCGCUCGCCGGAAGACCAAGGGUUCCUGUCCAACGUUAAUCGGGGCAGGGUGAGUCGACCCCUAAGGCGAGGCCGAAAGGCGUAGUCGAUGGGAAACAGGUUAAUAUUCCUGUACUUGGUGUUACUGCGAAGGGGGGACGGAGAAGGCUAUGUUGGCCGGGCGACGGUUGUCCCGGUUUAAGCGUGUAGGCUGGUUUUCCAGGCAAAUCCGGAAAAUCAAGGCUGAGGCGUGAUGACGAGGCACUACGGUGCUGAAGCAACAAAUGCCCUGCUUCCAGGAAAAGCCUCUAAGCAUCAGGUAACAUCAAAUCGUACCCCAAACCGACACAGGUGGUCAGGUAGAGAAUACCAAGGCGCUUGAGAGAACUCGGGUGAAGGAACUAGGCAAAAUGGUGCCGUAACUUCGGGAGAAGGCACGCUGAUAUGUAGGUGAAGUCCCUCGCGGAUGGAGCUGAAAUCAG